rnacentral:rRNA from 1 species
AUGAUUACUACAAUCAUUCAAAGAGCAGCAAGCACACCCUCCAUUAGUUCAAUGGAAGGAAUCAGAAUAAAAGAGAUGAAGAAGUUGAGGAGAGGGCGAGAGGCUGCUGGGUUUGGAGAUUGGGGAGGGUUACCUGCCGUUGGGAGGAGAGGCUGCUGCCUGCUGGUACUGUGGGGUAGCAGUCGCCGGUCGAGUGCAGGUGUCGCCGCUGGUGGCAGCGUUGAGUCCAGGCGGCGGUGGCUUCGAUCCAGGAGGCGGCUUCGAUCCAGGAGAGGCUGCGACCUGGGAGCACAUCGCUUUUGUGUGGAAGAGAUGCAUGCGACUACAUAG